rnacentral:rRNA from 1 species
AACGAACGCUGGCGGCAUGCCUAACACAUGCAAGUCGAACGAGACCUUCGGGUCUAGUGGCGCACGGGUGCGUAACGCGUGGGAACCUGCCCUUAGGUUCGGAAUAACUCCCCGAAAGGGGUGCUAAUACCGGAUAAUGUCUUCGGACCAAAGAUUUAUCGCCUUUGGAUGGGCCCGCGUUGGAUUAGCUAGUUGGUAGGGGACAAGCCUACCAAGGCGACGAUCCAUAGCUGGUCUGAGAGGAUGAUCAGCCACACUGGGACUGAGACACGGCCCAGUCUCCUACGGGAGGCAGCAGUGGGGAAUAUUGUACAAUGGGCGAAAGCCCAAUCCAGCAACGCCGCGUGAGUGAGGAAGGCCUUAGGGUUGUAAAUCUCUUUUACCCGGGAUGAUAAUGACAGUACCGGGAGAAUAAGCACCGGCUAACUCCGUG